rnacentral:rRNA from 1 species
ACUCCUACGGGAGGCAGCAGUGGGGAAUAUUGCACAAUGGGGGAAACCCUGAUGCAGCCAUGCCGCGUGUGUGAAGAAGGCCUUCGGGUUGUAAAGCACUUUCAGUAGGGAGGAAGGUAGUGUAGUUAACACCUGCAUUAUUUGACGUUACCUACAGAAGAAGCACCGGCUAACUCCGUGCCAGCAGCCGCGGUAAUACGGAGGGUGCGAGCGUUAAUCGGAAUUACUGGGCGUAAAGCGCAUUCAGGCGGCCUGUUAAGUCAGAUGUGAAAGCCCGGGGUCUUAACCGUCGGAAUUGCAUUUGAAACUGGCAGGCUAGAGUCUGUAGAGGGGUUAGAAUUUCAGGUGUAGCGGUGAAAUGCGUAGAGAUCUGAAGGAAUACCAGUGGCGAAGGCGGCCCCUGGACAAAGACUGACGCUCAGAUGCGAAAGCGUGGGAGCAAAC